rnacentral:rRNA from 1 species
GAUGAACGCUGGCGGCGUGCCUAAUACAUGCAAGUCGAGCGAACAGACGAGGAGCUUGCUCCUCUGACGUUAGCGGCGGACGGGUGAGUAACACGUGGAUAACCUACCUAUAAGACUGGGAUAACUUCGGGAAACCGGAGCUAAUACCGGAUAAUAUAUUGAACCGCAUGGUUCAAUAGCGAAAGACGGUUUUGCUGUCACUUAUAGAUGGAUCCGCGCCGCAUUAGCUAGUUGGUAAGGUAACGGCUUACCAAGGCAACGAUGCGUAGCCGACCUGAGAGGGUGAUCGGCCACACUGGAACUGAGACACGGUCCAGACUCCUACGGGAGGCAGCAGUAGGGAAUCUUCCGCAAUGGGCGAAAGCCUGACGGAGCAACGCCGCGUGAGUGAUGAAGGUCUUCGGAUCGUAAAACUCUGUUAUUAGGAAAGAACAAAUGUGUAAGUAACUGUGCACGUCUUGACGGUACCUAAUCAGAAAGCCACGGCUAACUACGUG